CUCUGUGACUGGCUUGCUUGAUAGUUAGGGUCUGAUUGCUGCCUGAGACACCAUAUCGGUACUCCUCAGAGUUGGUGAUCACAGGAUCUGGUUUGCCACUGAAAGGAAUCUUGAUGCUGACCACUUCACCUCGGAGAGCAUGAACUGCUCCCAUGCCUUCAAGAGUUUUAGGAUGGCAUCAACUGUUCCAAAAACAUUGCUGAGCUGGACUUUGUAUUUCCCAGCAUGAGUCUUACGUUGGACAUUCUUCAUGACAAGAUGAGUAUAGUGCUCAGUGUUUUCAAUAGUAAUGUUUUCUGAGUUUUGCAAAAGUUUCUGACCAUGGAACCAAGUCAUGGCAGGUACUGGACGACCAAUGUACAUAACAUGAAGCCGAAGUGUGGAACCCACAGCUCCAUAAUAUUUCUCUUUCAGUGGGUAACCAGGAUGGAACUGUGGUGUUGCUUGCAGGAGAAGCUUACUACUGGUUUCUACUUCUCCAACCUCAUUGGUGGCUAUGCAGGCACUGUCUCCAGACUGUCUAUAUUCAACCCAGUAUCCAAGAAUUUCUUUGCCACCAUCACAUUCAGGUUUCUCCCACUGUAGAGUGACACUAUCUUUGGAUAUUGAAAGAAUCUCAAGUUCUCCUGGUUGGCUUGGUUUAUCUGAAAUAUUUUAAAAUAAUGAAAAGGGAAUCAGCUUUACUGGUGAAAUAAAAGGACCAAACAUGGCUUGCUUCUUUAA
rnacentral:antisense_RNA from 1 species